rnacentral:tRNA from 1 species
GCCUGGUUGGUGGAAUUGGCAGACACGCCAGAUUCAAACCCUGGUGGGAAACCGUAAGAGUUCGACUCUCUUACCAGGCA